GGGAUGCAUUACGCUCGCGAGGAAAGUCCCCCCACCUGUUCGGGCAGGUGACCGGGCGCAAGUCCGGAGCGGGAGACCGCUGGCUCUGGAACAGAAACGACACGUCUCGGCCCGACCAAUGAUGCGUGCGAACCCGACCGAGAGGAAGGGGAGUUGACCCGCAGAGGGUGUGUGAUCGACUGCUCACGGUUCGAACCCGUGGAUCGCGGACGCGGUUCGCUUCCUCAGCGAACCCGCGAGUCGCAGCCGGCAACUGCCGGCGAUACUGGCGCGAUCGACCACACACAGACGGCCGAGGAUCGAUGGAACGGCGAAUCCUCACCGGUGCAAGUCCGUGCCGUGGUAGCCCGAACACCCCGCGGCCUCGCCGUGGACGGUGCGGACGCUCAGCCGAAUGCCGGGAUGAACAGAAGGGGGCUUACUCCUCUCACCC
rnacentral:RNase_P_RNA from 1 species